GAAAAAGAUUCACCGGGAGUGAUCAAAACGACUGGAAUCGAAUGUUAUUGUGAUAUUUGUAAGGGAGUAGAGGUUGUGAGCCCGGCUAUAUUUGAGGUUCAUGCUGGAAGUGCAAACAAACGUCCCCAGAGUAUACUUUCCUCGAAAAUGGGAAUACUGUUCGUUGUGUAAUGAACGCAUUUUUGAACAGUUCUAUAGACAAAAUGGAGGAUUCUGUUCAUGCUGUUCUCGGAAACUUUACUAUGCAAAAAUCAAAGUUCUGUUUGAACUGUAGAGAUCGCAAGGUUGUCUCGAGACUGUUCUGCAUUGCAUGCGAGGAGUUGAAGGCAUGUCAACCUAGUCCAACUCGUACAACUGAGACUAUUAUUAGCUGUGUUUCACC